GCAGAGCACUCUACGGGAGGCAGCAGUGGGGAAUAUUGCACAAUGGGCGCAAGCCUGAUGCAGCCAUGCCGCGUGUAUGAAGAAGGCCUUCGGGUUGUAAAGUACUUUCAGCAGUGAGGAAGGUGGGUAUGUUAAUAGCAUAUUCAUUUGACGUUAGCUGCAGAAGAAGCACCGGCUAACUCCGUGCCAGCAGCCGCGGUAAUACGGAGGGUGCGAGCGUUAAUCGGAAUUACUGGGCGUAAAGCGCAUGCAGGUGGUUUGUUAAGUCAGAUGUGAAAGCCCGGGGCUCAACCUCGGAAUUGCAUUUGAAACUGGCAAACUAGAGUACUGUAGAGGGGGGUAGAAUUUCAGGUGUAGCGGUGAAAUGCGUAGAGAUCUGAAGGAAUACCGGUGGCGAAGGCGGCCCCCUGGACAGAUACUGACACUCAGAUGCGAAAGCGUGGGGAGCAAACAGGAUUAGAUACCCUGGUAG
rnacentral:rRNA from 1 species